rnacentral:rRNA from 1 species
CAGUGAGCGAACUGAUUAGAAGCUUGCUUCUAUGACGUUAGCGGCGGACGGGUGAGUAACACGUGGGCAACCUGCCUGUAAGACUGGGAUAACUUCGGGAAACCGAAGCUAAUACCGGAUAGGAUCUUCUCCCUCAUGGGAGAUGAUUGAAAGAUGGUUUCGGCUAUCACUUACAGAUGGGCCCGCGGUGCAUUAGCUAGUUGGUGAGGUAACGGCUCACCAAGGCAACGAUGCAUAGCCGACCUGAGAGGGUGAUCGGCCACACUGGGACUGAGACACGGCCCAGACUCCUACGGGAGGCAGCAGUAGGGAAUCUUCCGCAAUGGACGAAAGUCUGACGGAGCAACGCCGCGUGAGUGAUGAAGGCUUUCGGGUCGUAAAACUCUGUUGUUAGGGAAGAACAAGUACAAGAGUAACUGCUNGUACCUUGACGGACCUAACCAGAAAGCCACGGCUAACUACGUGCCAGCAGCCGCGGAAUAACGA